UAUCUCAGUUGGUAAAGAAUCUGCUUGCAAUGCAGGAGACCCAGGUCGAUUCCUGG
rnacentral:tRNA from 1 species